CUCACAGCUGGUACCCAGAAGGUAGUGAACCAAACGAAGACACUAUGGGCAAAAUACAGUGCUGGAGGUGUGGGGAGGGGACAGGGAGAAGAUGCGGCAGUCCCUGCCCUCAGAGGGCUACCGUCCAGGGGUUCGGUGAGACAAGCAAACAGAAAAACAGAAGCUUGCAGAAUGAGUCAGGGGAAGGUGCUGGGGAUACGGUACGAGAACCCACCUUGGUCUGGGAGGAGCUUACAACCUUUGAAAGAAGACAGAUUCAUGAAAAACAUAAGCAACAAGAACCAAAAGGAGGACACUGGCUUCCAAGACGGUGGACAGGGAGAUUGCUGGAGAAGCUGAUGGGUGCUAUAUUAUUUUAUGAGAGAGAGCACGAGGAGCAGAGGGAGAGG